rnacentral:tRNA from 1 species
GCGGGGAUAGCUCAAGACAGAGCGCCGGCGCCUUCCCGCGCCGGAGGUGAGGUAUCGAAUCCUCUUCCCCGCUCCA